rnacentral:lncRNA from 1 species
ACAAGGGACCCCAGGACCCACAGGCACUGGCGCUGGACACCCAGAUCCCUGCAACCCCUGGACCCAAACCCCUGGUCCGCACCAGCCGGGAGCCAGGGAAGGACGUCACGACCUCAGGGUACUCCUCCGUCAGCACCGCAAGUCCCACAAGCUCCGUGGACGGUGGCUUGGGGGCCCUGCCCCAACCUACCUCAGUGCUGUCCCU